GGACUUGCUACCAUUGAACCACAGAGCCCUGGGUUUCAAUCCUGGUGCUGCCAGAAAUAGAAAGGAUGAGCGAGUGGGGAACAGAAAGCAAAGUCUGGGGGAUCAAAAGGGCCCAAGCAUCAAAGUGGAAAAUGACAUCAUAGGGAUAUAGAAAUGGGGAACCAAACCAUGAAUAAAUGACCUAACAGUGGGCCUAUUUUGUAUCUUAAAUGUCUGGCAUCAUCCUAUUAAUUUUAUUUACUUCUAUAUGUUAGUCACUUAUGAAUUCAUUUUUCAGUUUCUAUUGUGUUUUCCCUGGACGUGAGAUAUUUUCACCAGUAUCUACUGUACGAGACAAGAACAUGCAAGGCUGUGAAAAUGUGGAAGGGACUCACUGAGCAGAGGAUGCAGAUUGGUUUGAAGUUUGCAAAGAGGAACUCAGAGGGAGACAAACAACUCACCACAGGGCUCUGGGUGAAGUCACCUGACUGUUUCAGAAACUGUUCCCAUUAUGACACCUGUCAGAAUGUCCCACUGCCCGAGAGCUAGGCAGGUGCUGUGGGGCCCACUGACCUACUGACCUACUGACCUACUGACCCACCAGAUUGUAUACACUGCAGCCUAGUCCUCCCUUGCCUAUUGAGACCACCUUUGAACUGAAGUCUCCAAUGAGGUUCACAUUCCAUGAAGAGAGCACAGAGCCUGUUUAUGAUGGUUCGAAUAUACUUGGACCAGGAAGUGGCACUAUUAGGAAGUGUGGCCUUGUUGGAGGAAGUGUAUCAUUGGACAGGGGACAAAUCUUGGAGGUGGCUGAGGAUCCUUCUGACAGAAUUCAG
rnacentral:lncRNA from 1 species